AACGCUGGCUGUGUGCCUAAUACAUGCAUGUCGAGCGGAGUUCUUCGGAACUUAGCGGCGAAUGGGUGAGUAACACGUACUUAACGUGCCCUCUAGAUUGGGAUAACGAUGAGAAAUUAUCGCUAAUACCGGAUACUUAUUAGUUUGGCAUCAAACUAAUAUAAAAGGAGCGUUUGCUUCACUAGAGGAUCGGGGUGCGGAACAUUAGUUUGUUGGUAAGGUAAUGGCUUACCAAGACGAUGAUGUUUAGCGGGGUUGAGAGACUGAUCCGCCACACUGGGACUGAGAUACGGCCCAGACUCCUACGGGAGGCAGCAGUAGGGAAUUUUCCACAAUGGACGAAAGUCUGAUGGAGCGACACAGCGUGCAGGAAGACGGCCUUCGGGUUGUAAACUGCUGUUAUAAGGGAAGAAAAAGCAGUAGAGGAAAUGCUAUUGCCUUGACGGUACCUUGUCAGAAAGCAACGGCUAACUAUGUGCCAGCAGCCGCGGUAAUACAUAGGUUGCAAGCGUUAUCCGGAAUUAUUGGGCGUAAAGCGUCUGUAGGUUGUGUGUUAAGUCUGGCGUUAAAACUUGGGGCUCAACCCCAAAUUGCGUUGGAUACUGGCACGCUAGAAUUGUGUAGAGGUUAGCGGAAUUCCUAGUGAAGCGGUGAAAUGCGUAGAUAUUAGGAAGAACACCAACAUGGCGAAGGCAGCUAACUGGGCACAUAUUGACACUGAGAGACGAAAGCGUGGGGAGCAAACAGGAUUAGAUACCCUGGUAGUCCACGCUGUAAACGAUGAUGAUUAGCUGAUAGAGAACUAUCGGCGCAGCUAACGCAUUAAAUCAUCCGCCUGAGUAGUAUGCUCGCAAGAGUGAAACUUAAAGGAAUUGACGGGGACCCGCACAAGCGGUGGAGCAUGUGGUUUAAUUUGAAGAUACGCGUAGAACCUUACCCACUCUUGACAUCUUCCGCAAUGCUAUAGAGAUAUAGCGGAGGCUAACGGAAUGACAGAUGGUGCAUGGUUGUCGUCAGCUCGUGUCGUGAGAUGUUCGGUUAAGUCCUGCAACGAGCGCAACCCUUAUCCUUAGUUAAAUGUUCUAGGGAGACUGCCCGAGUAAUUGGGAGGAAGGUGGGGACGACGUCAAAUCAUCAUGCCUCUUACGAGUGGGGCAACACACGUGCUACAAUGGAUAGUACAAAGAGAAGCAAUACGGUGACGUGGAGCAAAUCUCAAAAAACUAUUCUCAGUUCGGAUUGUAGUCUGCAACUCGACUACAUGAAGUCGGAAUCGCUAGUAAUCGUAGAUCAGCUACGCUACGGUGAAUACGUUCUCGGGUCUUGUACACACCGCCCGUCACACCAUGGGAGCUGGUAAUGCCCGAAGUCGGUUUUGUUAACUACGGAGACAACUGCCUAAGGCAGGGCCGGUGACUGGGGUGAAGUCGUAACAAGGUAUCCCUACGAGAACGUGGGGAUGGAUUACCUCCUUUCU
rnacentral:rRNA from 1 species